GACUUUUCUGUUUGAGGAAACAUUCCACUGGAUGUGCUUGAUACUCUGACUGCACAGUGACACCACCUGGGGAGACUCCACAGGAGCGUCACAUGGCUCAGACAUGAUUUAGAAAGAACAGCG
rnacentral:lncRNA from 1 species